AGUGAACGCUGGCGGUAGGCCUAACACAUGCAAGUCGAACGGCAGCACAGUAAGAGCUUGCUCUUACGGGUGGCGAGUGGCGGACGGGUGAGGAAUACAUCGGAAUCUACUUUUUCGUGGGGGAUAACGUAGGGAAAUUUACGCUAAUACCGCAUACGACCUACGGGUGAAAGCAGGGGAUCUUUGGACCUUGCGCGAUUGAAUGAGCCGAUGUCGGAUUAGCUAGUUGGCGGGGUAAAGGCCCACCAAGGCGACGAUCCGUAGCUGGUCUGAGAGGAUGAUCAGCCACACUGGAACUGAGACACGGUCCAGACUCCUACGGGAGGCAGCAGUGGGGAAUAUUGGACAAUGGGCGCAAGCCUGAUCCAGCCAUACCGCGUGGGUGAAGAAGGCCUUCGGGUUGUAAAGCCCUUUUGUUGGGAAAGAAAAGCAGCAGGUUAAUACCCCGCUGUUCUGACGGUACCCAAAGAAUAAGCACCGGCUAACUUCGUG
rnacentral:rRNA from 1 species